GAACUCGUCGCGAGGUUCAAGCUGCGCGGUUGACGCGCGCGGUCGACGUGCGCGGCCGACUCCGGCGGCGGUGCCUGUUCGUCCGGGUGCGCC
rnacentral:tRNA from 1 species